rnacentral:rRNA from 1 species
CGUGUCGCGCAUAUCUGCAUAUCAAUAAGCGGAGGAAAAGAAACUAACAAGGAUUCCCUUAGUAACGGCGAGUGAAGCGGGAAGAGCUCAAAUUUGAAAUCUUCAAGGUUCUACCUUGACGAAUUGUAGUUUAAAGAAGUGUUUUCUGUUAGAUGAGUAGCAAAAGUUCCUUGGAAUGGGACAUCAUAGAGGGUGAGAAUCCCGUAUUUGGUCGUUCCUUCUAGCUUUGUGAUACACUUUCAAAGAGUCGGAUUGUUUGGGAAUGCAGUCCAAAAUGGGUGGUAAAUUUCAUCUAAAGCUAAAUAUUGGCGAGAGACCGAUAGCGAACAAGUACCGUGAGGGAAAGAUGAAAAGAACUUUGAAAAGAGAGUUAAACAGUACGUGAAAUUGUCAAAAGGGAAGCGUUUGACACCAGUGUUGUUUUUCCGAAAAUCAAUUACGAAUGGCUUGAUUUUGUGUUGCAUUGACCUUAUCAGCUUUCUGCACUUUUUUCGAGUCUUUCUUAAUGCACUUUUCGGUUAACAAGUCAACAUCAAUUUCUUUUGUUGUAAAAGAGUAUUCGGAAGGUGGCUUUCUUUUCGGAGAAAGUGUUUAUAGCCCUAUACUUCUACAAUCGGAGAGAUUGAGGUCUGCAGCGUAGAUCCUUCGGGGUUAGAUACACUUUGUGCUAAGUUAGUAGCUUUUCAUAGACAACUUGUUGACUAUGUUUAGUCUUGUAGCUUACUCGCUUAUGCUAUUUUACCUACGCUUAGGAUGUUGACGAUCAGCUGAGCGCG